CCCAUAGAUGUCCUGGGCCGCACGCGCGCUACACUGAACGGAUCAGCGCGUUUUCCCUUCCCGAGAGGGACGGGUAACCUGCUGAACCCCGUUCGUGGUAGGGAUCGGGGCUUGCAAUUAUUCCCCGUGAACCAGGAAUGCCCAGUAAGUGCAAGUCAUAAGCUUGCGUUGAUUACGUCCCUGCCCUUUGUACACACCGCCCGUCGCUACUACCGAUUGAACGUUUUAGUGAGGUACUCGGACUGAGCCUCAGAAGAUUCACGUCUUUUGUGCUGCUCGGGAAGAUUCCCAAACUUGAGCGUUUAGAGGAAGUAAAAGUCGUANCA
rnacentral:rRNA from 1 species